CGCGCAGGCGGUUGAAUAAGUCGAAUGUGAAAGCCCCCGGCUCAACUGGGGAGGGUCAUUCGAUACUGUUCGACUUGAAGGCAGGAGAGGGAAGCGGAAUUCCCGGUGUAGUGGUGAAAUGCGUAGAUAUCGGGAGGAACACCAGUGGCGAAGGCGGCUUUCUGGCCUGUUCUUGACGCUGAGGCGCGAAAGCCAGGGAGGCAAACG
rnacentral:rRNA from 1 species